rnacentral:rRNA from 1 species
CCCCUUAGUAGGGCAUAGCCCGUAGAAAUGCGGAUUAAUACCCUAUGUUGUUCGAUGCGGACAUCUAAGUUGAACCAAAGGUUUACCGCUAAGGGAUGGGGAUGCGUCCGAUUAGGCAGCAGGCGGGGUAACGGCCCACCUGGCCGACGAUCGGUAGGGGUUCUGAGAGGAAGGUCCCCCACAUUGGAACUGAGACACGGUCCAAACUCCUACGGGAGGCAGCAGUGAGGAAUAUUGGUCAAUGGGCGCGAGCCUGAACCAGCCAAGUAAGCGUGCAGGAUGACGGCCCUAUGGGUUAGUAAACUGUCUUUUGCCGGGGAAUAAAGUGAGGGACGUGUCCCUUUUUGUAUGUACCCGGAGAAUAAGGACCGGCUAAUUCCGUGCCAGCCGCUGC